rnacentral:rRNA from 1 species
GACGAACGCUGGCGGCGUGCUUAACACAUGCAAGUCGAGCGGAGCGGCGAACGGGUGAGUAACGCGUGAGUAACUGCCCCCCUCUCUGGGAUAACAGUUGGAAACGGCUGCUAAUACCGGAUAGUGGGGGAUGACUCGCGUCCUAUCAGCUUGUUGGUGGGGUAGUGGCCUACCAAGGCGACGACGGGUAGCCGGCCUGAGAGGGCGACCGGCCACAGUGGGCUGAGAUACGGCCCAAACUCCUACGGGAGGCAGCAGUGGGGAAGAUUGAACAAGAGGGGAAACACUGAGGCAGCAACGCCGCGGGCGGGAGGACGGACUUAGGGUUGUAAACCGCUUUCAGCCAUGAAGCGGUAGUGGCAGAAGAAGCACCGGCUAACUACGUGCCAGCAGCCGCGGUAAUUC